rnacentral:lncRNA from 1 species
UGUGUUCACCGGACACAUUGCCCAAAGUAAAUUAAGAAAGAGAGGGAAAAACAUGUGAAAGUCCUAGCUUGCCAUUGUUGAGUGCUGGGAGUAGUAGACUAGGAUAGUGCCUCAAAACAUAUAUAUAAAAAAAAGAAGUUUUAAACUGCAUUUUGUUCUAUAUGCUUUAUGCAUUAAUAUUCAAUUUGGCUGUUGCAGUUGGUAUUUGUGGAUAUUGGUGGUCAUCUUCUU